UUUUACCCCCGAUAGUAGCGGCAUCCUUUGUUUUUUUUCUUUAAAAAACAAAGAUAUAGCGGAUAGCGGGAUUCUUG
rnacentral:sRNA from 1 species